UCUCUCGCAGCUUUGUGGUUAGAGCAUUGGCUGGGAAAGCCAGAAAUUCGGGUUCGAUUCUCGGCGGGAGUG
rnacentral:tRNA from 1 species